rnacentral:rRNA from 5 species
CUGCGAUAAGCGCCGGUAAGGUGAUAUGAACCGUUAUAACCGGCGAUACCCGAAUGGGGAAACCCAGUGUGACUCGUCACACUAUCAUUAACUGAAUCCAUAGGUUAAUGAGGCGAACCGGGGGAACUGAAACAUCUAAGUACCCCGAGGAAAAGAAAUCAACCGAGAUUCCCCCAGUAGCGGCGAGCGAACGGGGAGGAGCCCAGAGCCUGAAUCAGCAUGUGUGUUAGUGGAAGCGUCUGGAAAGGCGCGCGAUACAGGGUGACAGCCCCGUACACAAAAGCGCAUGUGCUGUGAGCUCGAUGAGUAGGGCGGGACACGUGGUAUCCUGUCUGAAUAUGGGGGGACCAUCCUCCAAGGCUAAAUACUCCUGACUGACCGAUAGUGAACCAGUACCGUGAGGGAAAGGCGAAAAGAACCCCGGCGAGGGGAGUGAAAAAGAACCUGAAACCGU